AGGUUUGUUUUACACAAUUUCCUAAAGACAGAUUCGGCUGCUCCUACAAUACUUGGAGAAACGUUGGUCAACUAUCUCCUAGGAUACAACAAUACGAUGAUCAAAGCAGUAGUACCUCUACGGUGAUCAGCGAACAAACAUUGCCUACUUCUAUCACCGAAACAUUGGAAAAUAUGGAGAGGAAAAGAGAAGAAUUUUGAAAAGCAAAAUAAACUCUGUGUCAGUGAGUGUGUGUCCAAAAAAUUCUAAAGAAUUCUUUAGUUUUUAUAGACAUUCAAUAUGGAGGAAUUUUGAAAAUAUCCAUAAAUAAAGAUCAAAUUUUGUAUUAAAUGAGCAAUUAAAUCAAUUUGACGAUUGUAAUAGCUAAUUUUGGCCCAGGUCAAUAAAACAAAAUUAAAACCCAAACCACCAAUAAAUAAAAUGUCUAAAUUAAGAGUCCAAUUACAACAAAUAACACAACCCAAAUUAAACCCUAGCCCACUACAAGCCCAAAUCAGAAACAAAACAAAAAAAACCUAAAGCUACCAAAGUAAGCCGCAUUUGAUUUCUAACCUAUCGCCGUCGCUGCACGUCAGCAAAUCCCCUGUGCAUGCCACCACUCCUCCACGCCUCUGACACCACUUGCAAAACGAAAAUCUACACGCAAGCAGAAAGAACAAACAAAGAAAACAAAUAACAAAGAAACAAAAAAUAGAAAUCAAAAGUCUUAUAAUUUGGCUAUAAAAGCCUUAUCAACAUGCUUGUAUUUUUCUUCUUCUUCUCCGAAUUCAAAAGGGAAGAAAUACGAAAAUCAAUCAGAAAAUUAAAAACUUUCAAGGUGACUUUUUCUUUUUUAUUUCGAAUAUUGCUUUAAAGUUUCUUUUUCUGUUAUUUUUCCAUAAAAAAAAUAAAAAGAAAAGAGGAAAGGGCUCAUCGGAGUUACCCCACGGCCGCGUCGUCCCCCCUGUGGUCCAAUCAUUGGAGGUUUCUCUCCGCUGUCAAAAUCGGACCCGAAAAAGGGGGUGAAAGUGGGCCUUUUUCUUUUGGUUUUUACGGGCUUGGAGGGUUUUGUCUUUGGAUCCAUUCGAAAAGGGGCUGAACAACCCCAUUUUGCGCAACGUCGGCCACCGUCUGAGGCGGGCGGACAGACGGCCGGUGGCCCUUUCGGCCGGAGAUAAGGGGAGAGGAUGAAAGAAUUCCAAAGUUCUUUCAGUUUUUUUUUUUUUAAACUAAUGGUUGAAAAUGAAAUUUUAAAAAAAAUAGGCUUUUAUAAAACACUAAAACGACAUAGUUUCAUUUGCCCUCCCCAAAUGCCAAAACGGCGUCGUUUUGGGAGGGCAACCCGAACCCGACCCGCUCCACAAAGGGAUCCGCGUGUUUUUUUUUAUUUUGGGAUAUUUGCGCAAAUUGGGCUUCCGCUUUUGCUACGUACUUCGAUUAAGUCCCGCCUUGUUUUUUUUAUUUUUUAAUUCGACCUUUUUAUUUUAUUUCGCAUUCAAUUUAGUCGCUCUAUUCGCAAGUUGGAGUGGCGCACUUAAUGGGGUUUGGGAUAUUUUCUUAGUUAACCCCUCGUAUGUUUCAGCACGUUUCAAAUCCGUCCUCCGCUUGAUUUUUUUAAUCCGAAUUUCCCCCUUUGAAUUUAUUUAGAUUUUAAUUUAAUCCUUUUUAUAUACUUACGUUUAUUUUAUUUGAAUUUGGACCCUAAAAUUUCAUUUUAUUUGCAAUCAAGCCCUUAUACAUGUAAAUUUGGACUCUUUGAUUUUUAUUUAUUUAUUUUAAAUUUUAUAUAUUAAACUAUUUUAAAUUGUUUUAGAU
rnacentral:lncRNA from 1 species